AACGCGAAGAACCUUACCAGGUCUUGACAUCCUCUGACAACUCUAGAGAUAGAGCGUUCCCCUUCGGGGGACAGAGUGACAGGUGGUGCAUGGUUGUCGUCAGCUCGUGUCGUGAGAUGUUGGGUUAAGUCCCGCAACGAGCGCAACCCUUGAUCUUAGUUGCCAGCAUUUAGUUGGGCACUCUAAGGUGACUGCCGGUGACAAACCGGAGGAAGGUGGGGAUGACGUCAAAUCAUCAUGCCCCUUAUGACCUGGGAUACACACGUGCUACAAUGGAUGGUACAAAGGGCUGCAAGACCGCGAGGUCAAGCCAAUCCCAUAAAACCAUUCUCAGUUCGGAUUGUAGGCUGCAACUCGCCUACAUGAAGCUGGAAUCGCUAGUAAUCGCGGAUCAGCAUGCCGCGGUGAAUACGUUCCCGGGCCUUGUACACACCGA
rnacentral:rRNA from 1 species